AGAAAGAUAAAUUAUAGGUUUUCGUGCCAACAUUUAAAUGUCCAUUUUAUACGAAAUUUUUUUAUAAUUAGUAUUUUCAUUGUUGUUAGAUGAUAAAACAUGAUUAAUACUUUAUGCGUGACUUAUCUUUUAAUUUUUUUCAUAUUUUUUUAAAUAAGACGGACGGUCAAACGUUGGACACGGAAAUCAGGGUUUGUCGAAGU
rfam:Oryza barthii chromosome 7, whole genome shotgun sequence.